rnacentral:tRNA from 1 species
AGCUACAUAGCAAAGCAGUCAAUGCAAUAGACUUAGGAUCUAUUAUCAAAGGUGCAAAUCCUUUUAUAGCUG